rnacentral:lncRNA from 13 species
CUCAGUGAAUAAUACCUUAUCUGGCAAUUGACCCACUCUACCCUUUUCUCUCUCCUUCUAUCCAUCUGUUAGUAUUCUCAGACAUUCACCCUCAGGUUGAAUUUGAGUCCCAUGCUUCUCCCUAGUCUUUUCCCUUCCUCCCUCUCCUCUCUUCCUUCCUCCCUCUCUUCCCUUCCUCCUCCCUCUGGCUGGCUGCCACUCCUCCCAGCGGAUCUGUGCCUGUGGUAGUGGUGUAUGUUGUCGGUUGAGGCCGGCCCCCUCUCUCUCCUCAGAUGGAGGAGUGAAGCUCACUGACACACAUACAGACGCAACAAGCCACAGGCAGGCACGCUACCAGACAGACCGGCAGACAGGUAAGCAGGAGGCAGGCACCAUGACGCAAACAGGGGACAGACUCAGCUCUGUGACAACAGAUGCCUCCCACAGAACUGAACACUGAAGUUUACUUUGAGAGCCUCAGUGGAGCUGGAAUAAGCAGAAAAUAAGACAAAUAACAAGACGGGAUGAGGAGUUCUUGACUGCUGUUUUUCAUGCUGAGGAGGAGGGGGUAUUUUACACACUUUUUCUGUAGUCGCUGAACCUGUGGAAUUACAUCUAUGAGUCAGGGGAGGACUAAAGCCAGCAUGGUAUUCAGCUGGCAGAAGUCCUUUGCCAUCCUGAACCCCUGGAGGAAAGGGAAGGGGGACAAUGUGCUGGAUAAUGAGGUCGUCUUGACCAAAAUGAAGCUCUUCAACAACUUCCAUGAGAAGCUCCUCAACAACGCUGUUGAUUCUUCAUCCACUAUCUCCAUGUCAGUAUCUGAGCAGGACAUCGCAGAGCCUGUCAAAGGCUUGAAGGGGAAUGCUGAUCUGGAUAACAUGCCUGGGAAGCCCCUGAUGGAGUCAAACUCAGGCUACCUCUCUGACAUUUUCUCAGACUCUCAGCUUCCCAUGCUGUACAAGUUUGAGUCGGAGGACUCUGGAGUGGAACUGCCCAGUGGAACCAACUCUCCCUCCACACCCACCGGCUCAGAGCAGAGCUUUGUGGUCCACAGCCGGGAACCGUCCUAUGACUCCUGUAACCUCAAUACUCCUGUCCCUACCCCAGGUCCACUCCUCACCAUUGAACAGUGCUCUGACACCAAACAAACAGAGGAUAUAAGAGACACACCAUGUACGACUGUAGACAAUGCUGUGCUGGAGUGUAAUACUGUGGAGUUGGGGGCUGAACUCAACACAGAGGUUGAGAGGGUAGACCUUCAUAUAACUGAGAAGGACAUAAAUAUGGAGAGGGCCCAACACAGGGCCUUGAAGGACACUGCUGAGGACAGUGACAGGGUUUCAGAGGAGCUGGGUGAGAACAGGGCUGUGACUGACGGGAUCAACUCAGAGAAGACAAGGUCCAAGAGCCAGUGCUCUACAGGGGCCUGUGAUGAUAUGACAGGAGUUAACUUUGAGCAGCGGCCUCUGAGGAAAAGCACGACGAGCGACAGCCUAGAGGAGUAUAUGGAGGAAUGCUGUAGACUGAGUGAGGUCCACCAGGCCAGCUCCAACCCCCUGGGCUCCGGACUGGGCUACCUGGAGCACAUCUGCCAGCUCAUUGAGAAGAUUGGGCAGCUCCAGGAACACAACCUCAGGCUGCAGAAGCAAAUCUGUGGGCUGCAAAAGGAUGGAAGGAUGACCAAGACCAAAGAGGACUUCUUCCUGCAGCACUGUAGCUGUGGAACGGCCGGCAUGGCCUUCCAUGAACAGAAAAGACACUCUAGGAGUGAGUUCCUGACCACCUCCGUGAGCGGCACCCUCUCUGACCUCUCCACCAUCCCUGAGGUCACACACCACACAGGACUCACAGCCAGGGGAGAGAGUGACCAGGGUGGAUGCCAGCCCCUGGUGCCCCUUUGGAAGAGGGGCCUGAAUCGGAUGAGCUACUCAGAGGGAGAUACGCGCUCCUAUCUCUCUGACAGUACAGAGGGUCUCUCUGCCCCACACAGACGGCUGAGUGAGAACUACACGUGGGGCAGAGUGAAGGAUCUGGUGAAGAAGACCAAGCUGAGGAACCAGAGCAGACUGGGACAAACAUCCACCUCCCUCAAGAGAUCCUGUCCACAGCUUUACCGCCCUGACCUGGGACCAGUGGACCUACCAGGAAGAAACAGGAACUCCAUGAUCGCCUUGGGCCAUCAGAACAAACUGGACUUCCAGUGGCCCAGAUAACCAUUGUUGGUACAGAAAGUUCUGACGCAAAAUAUUGCUAAUGCGUAGUGAAACAUGUUGGAAGCAUGCUGUGCAUGUACAAGCACAACUGAUUUAGCAGCUGUCGUGCGAUCUAUUCUCAGCGUACAUGUGUAAUAAAGAUAUCCAUAGAGGUGAAGAGGCAACACUUUUGUAACACUGCCCACACUGAACGUCUUUGUUUUCUACCCAGAUAUGAAACAGACGGCCCGAAGUGGGAAGAGAAUGCCCUGAAGAGGAUAAGGUGAAGUUGCACAGAUUCUCGACUGGACUGAGAGAGUAGUGUGAAAGGAGGGAUGUGAGAAAUAACACUUGUGAUGGAUGACAAAACUUUGAGUGAGGAGUGAAAAGAAAACAAAAAGAGGGAUGGUCAUAGACAUCUCUCUUGAGAUACAAUUCUAAACUAAGGGAUUGUAUUGUUUCAGAUAAGGGAACAUUGGUAUUUAUAUGAGAACAGACAUGCAUGUACUCCACAAUGUACAUGAAUACGAUACAAAUGAUUUCAUCUUGUACUAUAAUCGUUUUUCUUUUCAAUUCAUAUUGUAAUGCUUUCUCUAAAUAUGUGUUAUGUUAGUGACAUUUCAGUACUAUGUGUUGAUGGAGGAAACAACAACUCUUUGACAUGGUUGUUCCAACUAAGAAAUAGCCUAGACAAUAUUCUGGGGUGAAAUUAAAGGGGUAGUUCACGCAAAUUACAAAAUGACAUUGCUUUCCUUACACUGUAAGCCGUCUAUGGACAAGCUAUGGCAGCAAUGCAUCCUUUGGUUUAGUUUCCCUGCCACUGUUUCAACAUGCUAGCAUUUUAGCAUUUGUGGCACAAAUCCCAUUCAAGUCAUGGGACCGAUAUUAUUCGCGCACCAUGCCCAAAUCAAUACAUGAUUUAAAUUCUAGAUAAGAGCGUCUUCUAAAUGACUAAAAUGAAAAUGUAAAUGUAAAAAUAAUUCGAAAGUAUCUAAAGUCGCUUGUCACACUCAACAAAGUCACAUAGAUUAUUUGAACAUGAUGCUUGAAAAAGACAAAUUUCGGUCCCAUGACAGGGUAAGGAAACCAAUAUGUAAUUUUGUGUUUGGGUGAACUAUCGCUUUGGUUAUCAUGCCCCCUUGAAUAAAUGUGAAACAUACACAUAUCAUACAUAUUUGAGGAUUGUACUUAACUAUUCAACACAUUUUGUAUGAAUUCUCUUCUUGUUUUGAGUGUAGGCCUAAGAGGCUGUGUGUGCAUGCACUAUACAGGGAUAAUAGAUCGUGGUGAUGUUGUGUGAAUGUGCUGUAUAUAACAAAAGUUAAUUGUGUACAGUCACUGUGUAUGUACAGGAGGGGAGUUAUGCCUCUGUAAAUUCCUAUGUUUAUAUGAUGGAAAUGUAUACUUUUUUGGAGAUAGGGGUUCCAGAUCCCUUAUGAUAAAACACUUUGAGGAUGCUAGAAAACGUUUGUGAUGCAUUGCCGCAAGGUUUUUUAAUGUUCCUCUCAAACAUUUAUGUAAAAAAAAAAAAAACUGUAAAGAAAAAAAACAAUAAUUUUGUUUAACUGCAACAUGUACAGUAUUUUAUCAGAGGCUGCUGUUGCACAUGCUCAUCUUCAAGACAUUUUUUUUUAUUUAUUGUGACAUGCAAGUCUGGUUUGACAAGCUAACAGUGAUUUUAGCUUUUCUACAUCACGGUUACAUUCCCUGGUUUUCCAGAAAUCCUGGUUGGAAUAUUCCCGUAUUUCCUGCUUUUCCCUCGUAAUGCCAUGAAUCUUCCCAACAGGCUUCCUUGAAAAAAUGUGAAUUUUGGGAAAGCUACUGGAAUUUUGCAACCUUAGUUACAUCACUAUGAGCUUCCUUUGAUAACAGACAGGCAAGUGCCAUGGUACCUUGGAAAUCUCACUGGGUAACUACAGAAGGAAAGUUCAACACAAAAACGUUGAAAAGGAUGACUAAAAUAGCUUCAAAGCCUUGACAUCUAAUUGAAAUACAGCAGAAGUAAAUUCCAAAUGCUCAAAACUGCCCAGCGUUGUUUACAACAGGAAUGGAGGUCAUCAAAUGUUUUGAAAAUACUAAUCCCACAGUAAGAACAAAACAGUUAGUUAUCCAGUAUGUACUUCAGCAAUGUGAACAACAGUAUAGUACAACACCAAUGAGUUAUUCAUCAUGGUCAACAUGUACUCCUAUUAAAAUAAUAAUGUACUCUGUAGUUCUGUACAUGUAGCACAGCUGUAGCUGUAUAAUACGGAAUUCAUGUACUUCUAAAUACUCUAAUCAAGUAGAAAAUAAAUCUGUUGCAACUUGAGAUGCAGUAAAUGCUGUCAAUAUGCAUGAUAGGCCUACAUGUUUUGUCAGGACUGGGAUCUAAAGACUAAAGAUUGUGAUAUCUGUAUAUUGUAGAGUCACAGUAAGUUGUACAUGGAUGGAAUAUCUCAAUAUGCGUAAUGUAUCAUUAUUCAAAGUUAUUUUUCGAAAUAAAGUUGACAUUUUCAAUGACAUGAAAUGCUGUGCUUUUAGUAAUUUUAUACCACUCACCGAGUCCUGCAGGAUAUAAAGCAAAU